rnacentral:rRNA from 1 species
GACGAACGCUGGCGGCGUGCCUAAUACAUGCAAGUCGAGCGGAACUGGGGGAGCUUGCUCCUUCCAGUUUAGCGGCGGACGGGUGAGUAACACGUGGGCAACCUGCCCUGCAGAUCGGGAUAACUCCGGGAAACCGGUGCUAAUACCGAAUAGUUUGGCGCCUCUCCUGAGGCGCUACGGAAAGACGGUUUCGGCUGGCACUGCAGGAUGGGCCCGCGGCGCAUUAGCUAGUUGGUGGGGUAACGGCCCACCAAGGCGACGAUGCGUAGCCGACCUGAGAGGGUGACCGGCCACACUGGGACUGAGACACGGCCCAGACUCCUACGGGAGGCAGCAGUAGGGAAUCUUCCGCAAUGGACGCAAGUCUGACGGAGCAACGCCGCGUGAGUGACGAAGGUUUUCGGAUCGUAAAACUCUGUUGUGAGGGAAGAACGCGUACCAACUAACUAUUGGUACCUUGACGGUACCUCACCAGAAAGCCACGGCUAACUACGUGCCAGCCGCCGCCGUAA